GAAUGAAGUAAGGUAAUGAGAACAGAAAUCGAAUUGAGUCUCUAGGCCUGCCUUCUCUGAUGCCUUUCGGUUUUGAUUUGGGGGCAUGGUUCCAUGGCAUAUAA